UACGGGGGGGGCAAGCGUUGUUCGGAAUUACUGGGCGUAAAGGGCGCGUAGGCGGUCCGAUAAGUCCCGUGUGAAAUCCCUCGGCUCAACUGAGGAACCGCACGGGAAACUGCCGGGCUUGAGUUCGGGAGAGGGAAGCGGAAUUCCGGGUGUAGCGGUGAAAUGCGUAGAUAUCCGGAGGAACACCGGUGGCGAAGGCGGCUUCCUGGACCGACACUGACGCUGAGGCGCGAAAGCUAGGGGAGCAAACGGG
rnacentral:rRNA from 1 species